rnacentral:sRNA from 19 species
ACGUGGGCUCUCUGAAUUACAAGAUUAUGCAACCACACAGGAACCUUACAUAAGCGUAAGCCGUUAAUUGCUGGAUUCAGGAAAUAAAACUCUACUAAUAGCGGGGAAUAACAGAGGUUUGAAGGUGCACUUGAUCUUAUCAGUAAUAUAUAUAUAUAUAUAUAUAUAUAGAUGUGUGUAUGUACACAUUUUUAACGCAAGGAGGCAAGAGAAGCCAUUGAUAGCGUUCUCCUGUUCGGCUAUUCUGUUUUUAUUCUUUUUCUAAACACUUGCAACCAUCUGAAUGAUAGCUACUGAAGGAGGAGCCCAUCCCUG